rnacentral:rRNA from 1 species
GACGAACGCUGGCGGCGUGCUUAACACAUGCAAGUCGAACGGAAAGGCCCUGCUUUUGUGGGGUGCUCGAGUGGCGAACGGGUGAGUAACACGUGAGUAACCUGCCCUUGACUUUGGGAUAACUUCAGGAAACUGGGGCUAAUACCGUAUAGGAGCUCCUGCUGCAUGGUGGGGGUUGGAAAUUUUCGGCGGUUGGGGAUGGACUCGCGGCUUAUCAGCUUGUUGGUGGGGUAGUGGCUUACCAAGGCUUUGACGGGUAGCCGGCCUGAGAGGGUGACCGGCCACAUUGGGACUGAGAUACGGCCCAGACUCCUACGGGAGGCAGCAGUGGGGAAUAUUGCACAAUGGGCGGAAGCCUGAUGCAGAAACGCCGCGUGCGGGAUGACGGCCUUCGGGUUGUAAACCGCUUUCGCCUGUGACGAAGCGUGAGUGACGGUAAUGGGUAAAGAAGCACCGGCUAACUACGUG